GCCUGGGUGACUCAGUCAGUUGAGCAUCUGACUUCAGCUUAGGUCAUGACCCAUGGUUUGUGGGUUUGAGCCCCACGUCAGGCU
rnacentral:tRNA from 1 species